ACAAUCUAAAUCCCUUAACGAGGAU
rnacentral:siRNA from 1 species